GUGACAACACUAGUCCGAGUAGGGUUUGCGGCCCUACUGGGACUCGAAUUCGAUUAAACUGGUUUGGCAUAGCCAAACAGAUAGGCAAUCAUAAAUCAAAACUGGGCAUAACAACUCAUUCAAAAUAUUCAUACAAAAAUGAGCUGGAGACGGGGAAGAGAUUAUACAAAAAUGAGUAUGUAGUGGUAGGAAAAAUGAGGCUGAGGGGGUCGUGCUAUAUCUAAGAGUAUGUGUAACUGAAAGCCUGCGAGGCUGGCUGUUUGUGCAGAGAAAGGGAGUCCUUGAUUGGUUGUGUUUUGACUGUUUCCACUGCACCUAUACAGGGAUGUACUCGUGGGAUUAAAUGGGACUGUUAUACUAUUUUGUUUCCUUCUUGCAGAAACUCCUUUUUCCUUGAUGUUGCAACACUUUUAGCUGGAUUUUGUGUGUCGAAUUGCAGGUGCACAACAAGGAUGAGGGGCUGUUAAGGGACAAACCGCAGAGCUGCUGCAACUAAAAAGAACAGGCGUUGCAGGGUUGAAUGGCUCCAUGGCAGCUUUCGGUUGGGGCUGGGGUGUGUAGGAGUUGCAGCCACCUAUCCCUCCUAAUUUGGAAACCCCUUGGUCUUCAUUGCAAGUGAUGUACCAACACUAGUUAGCUGGGAAUCGUUUCCUUGCGGCGUGGUUCAAUGCCUCUGGACCGACGGUGUGUAUCUGGCAGAGAAAAGGAGGCUGAUCUCCCCCAGGCUGUUACCUCGUCGGUUCGGCCCAACGGGCCGUCGGAACACUGGGCCGACGUCUAGGCUAAGGGAGAGGCCCAAAUGCUAGUUUCUUUCCUCUGUAAUGUAAUAGGAUAGUCUUAAUUGUAAUGUCUCUUAUAGCUAAUGUAUUUCUUUUCUUAUUUUCAUUGUCAAGCAUUUGUAAAUUUAGAUUUAAUUGGAAAUUCUAAUUAUUGUGCUUCAAGAAAUGAACGAAUACUCUUUCGUUCUCA